CCCGGUGUGGGGUCCCCGCCCUGCAGGUCUCCGCGGUGCGGGGUCCCCCCCAGCCUCAGGAUCUCCGCUCUCUGCUGUCUGGGUUUGACCCUCCGUGUCCCUCUGGCUUUCUAGGUCCCAGUGAUCCUCCUGCCUCAGCCUCCCCCUCGUGCUGGGCCGACAGGCCCCGCCCCGCAGGUCCGCAGGCCUUCCGCUCUGGUCCCGCCUCACCUCCAUGCAGUUCCGGUGCCUGGCGUCCAUGACCUUCAGGAGCACUUCCGUGUCGUGCGUCUCCCCGUCCACGGUCUCGCGCCGGCGACCCCGGUAGAUCUUGGUGAAGGAGCCGUGGCCCAGGGGGCAGAAGCAAGAGAACAGAGGUCAGAGGUCAGAGGCAAAGGUUCCCAAGAGCCCCUCCCGCACUAAGCCUGGGGACCCCCCCCCCCGCCCCCGAACUCGCUCCUGAGAAGGGAUUCGAAAGCGCCGCGCUCUGAGCGGACGGACCAGCCUCGUGGAUUCUAGGGAGAAUCCCAGGCUGGUGCUCUUCAAGGACAAAUGCACACUCCUGGUCCCAGCUCGGAUGUCACCUCCGCCGGGAAGCCACCCUGGCACCAGCAAUGAACCAACCUGCACGCAGGCCGUGAGAAGAAAGCUGUCGUAGUCCUGAGGGCUGCGGCGGAGAAUGUAGGAGCCCGGGGAGGGAGCCCGCGGCCUUCAGCUUGUGGACCGCAAAGUCCAGCCUAGGCCAGGACAGAAGCCCCGUCAGAGCCGCCCAGCUCGGUGAG